rnacentral:rRNA from 1 species
UACGAGGGGGGCUAGUGUUGUUCGGAAUCACUGGGCGUAAAGGGUGCGUAGGCGGGAGCCUAAGUUGGGUGUUUAAUUCCGGGGCCCAACCCCGGGCGUGCACUCAAAACUGGGUUUCUUGAAUAGGGGAGAGGUCGGUGGAAUUGGAGGUGUAGCGGUGGAAUGCGUAGAGAUCUCCAAGAACACCCGUUGCGAAGGCGGCCGACUGGACCCAUAUUGACGCUGAGGCUCGAAAGCAUGGGGAGCAAACAGG